rnacentral:rRNA from 1 species
AGGACGAACGCUGGCGGCGUGCUUAACACAUGCAAGUCGAGCGGUAAGGCCCCUUUGGGGGUACACGAGCGGCGAACGGGUGAGUAACACGUGAGCAAUCUGCCCUUCACAUCGGGAUAACCUCGGGAAACCGAAGCUAAUACCGGAUACGACCACCGAAGGCAUCUUCUGGUGGUGGAAAGUUCCGGCGGUGAAGGAUGAGCUCGCGGCCUAUCAGCUUGUUGGUGGGGUAAUGGCCUACCAAGGCGACGACGGGUAGCCGGUCUGAGAGGACGAUCAGCCACACUGGGACUGAGACACGGCCCAGACUCUUACGGGAGGCAGCAGCAGGGAAUCUUGCACAAUGGGCGAAAGCCUGAUGCAGCAACGCCGCGUGUGGGAUGAAGGCCUUGGUUGUAAACCACUUUCAGGAGGAAGAAAUUGACGGUACCUCCAAAAGAAGGUCCGGCCAACUACGUGCCAGCAGCC